AUGAACGCUGGCGGCGUGCCUAAUACAUGCCAGUCGCGCGAACAGACGAGGAGCUUGCUCCUCUGACGUUAGCGGCGGGCGGGUGAGUAACACGUGGAUAACCUACCUAUAAGACUGGGAUAACUUCGGGAAACCGGAGCUAAUACCGGAUAAUAUAUUGAACCGCAUGGUUCAAUAGUGAAAGACGGUUUUGCUGUCACUUAUAGAUGGAUCCGCGCCGCAUUAGCUAGUUGGUAAGGUAACGGCUUACCAAGGCAACGAUGCGUAGCCGACCUGAGAGGGUGAUCGGCCACACUGGAACUGAGACACGGUCCAGACUCCUACGGGAGGCAGCAGUAGGGAAUCUUCCGCAAUGGGCGAAAGCCUGACGGAGCAACGCCGCGUGAGUGAUGAAGGUCUUCGGAUCGUAAAACUCUGUUAUUAGGGAAGAACAAAUGUGUAAGUAACUAUGCACGUCUUGACGGUACCUAAUCAGAAAGCCACGGCUAACUACGUG
rnacentral:rRNA from 1 species